UCUGAUCUGAAUGUGCUGCUGCUUAGCUCUGGACAGAGACAAGGAUACGAAAGAACAUGCCUGAAAAAUGACUCGACGUUUAAUAUAUACGACGAGAUUAAUGCACAUCACAAGUUCAGAACGCGUAAAUUAGACGAAUGAAACGCAUAAGUCACCACGCAAUCUACUCAAGCAGAUGAAAGUGUUCGCAACGCCUCUGGAAGUUUGGUUUGCUUUACCUGUUUUGCAUGGACAACAUGGACACUCAAUCAUAUAUGUUAAGAAAUUAUAGCGUUGGGUAACUUCCCAGAUGGAGUUCUCAGCAUGCAGAGAUCUUCUAAAAAUGACUUACUUUUGGCAGUGAAACAAAGGAAUCAAGAAAAUCAGUCCAGUGGGCGUCCAGCAGAAAGAACUGUGCUGUGUUUACGGGAGACCUGUAGGACUGAGACACAAAGUGCACUGCAAGACGAUGUUCUGUCUACUGUUACUCUGAGUGUGCCAGUCCACUCCUGAACGGCCUAAAUGACCACAGGAUUUCACACCAGCAACUAGAUGGACAUUCAGAUGACAAGGAUAAACCUCCGCCACCACAACAACUAUUGUUCACACAGCUCAGGCUGAGCUCUGCCAACAGACCUCGCUACAGCCGGAAUGUGAAUCAACACCCAAUUACAUUUCUGUAGAACCAUGAAACGCAAAAUAACAUUCGUCAGCUUCCAGGAACACCAGAAUCACAGCUGAUGUCGUCACACUCUCUCUCCCUCCUUUAUAUAUUAAAACAGUGGCAUUUGAAAACGUAUCUGUUUGCUUGUGCGUUUCAUGUUUUGUGAUUUUGUUUUCUUGAUUGUUUCAUCUUGAUUAUUUGAUUAUCUUUAACUAUUGUUGAUGGACAUAUGUGAUCGUGUACAGCACUUUGGUCAACCAAUGUUGUUUUAAAUUUGCUUUAUAAAUGAAAUAAACUUGAAACCUUGACUAUAGGGGUCUAAAGACACAAAAUAAAGUCAGAAAUCUUGGUGUAAUCUUAGAGUCUGAUCAUAAUUUCAGUAGUCACGUGAAAGCAAUAAGCAAAUCAGCUUACUACCAUCUCAGAAAUAUUGCCAGAAUUAGAUGUUUCUUCUCAAGACAGGAUUUGUUCAAGCUUUCAUCACCAGCAGGGUGGAUUAUUACAGUGGACUCCAUACUGGGAUUCCCAAAAAGACCAUUAGACAGCUUCAGCUCAUACAGAACGCUGCUGCCAGAAUUCUGACCAGAACCAAAAAAUCUGAGCACAUUACUGCAGUCCUCAGGUCCUUACACCGGCUUCCUGUUACAUUUAGAAUAGAUUUUAAAGUAUUGUUACUUGUUUAUUAAUCACUUCAUGGCUUAGGACCGAAAUACAUUACAGAUAUGCUAACUAAAUAUAAACAGAUUACUCAUCAGUAGGAUCAGGUCAGUUAGAAAUACCAAGGGUUCAUUUUAUGUGAGGGGAAUUGAGUCCUGAUAUGCUGUGACGGAGUUCUUAUUGUUGAGUAAUCCAACUAUGGCAAUGUCAUCAGCGUAUUUGUAUUUGUAAGUAGUGAUGGGUGAUGGGUUAUUGCAAUCGUUGGUGUACCGGGUGUAAUGGAAAGGGCUGAGAACACAGCCCUGUGGGGCACCAGUGUUGGGGAUGAUGGUUGAAGAUGUUUUUGAGCCAAUUCUAACAGUUUGCUGUCUGUUGCUGAGGAAGUUAUGGAUCCAGUGAAUGAGAGGGGGGGGGGUGUUGAGGUGAUGUAAUUUCUUGAUGAGCUGGUGACGUUGGAUUGUAUUGAAAGCGGAACUGAAGUCAAUGAAGAGAACUGAGGCAAAGUUUCCAGUGGCUUAGGACCGAAAUACAUUACAGAUAUGCAAAUUGAAUAUAAACCUAACAGAUUACUCAUCAGUAGGAUCAGGUCAGUUAGAAAUACCAAAGGUUCAGUUAAAACAAGGUGCGUCUGAAUUUAGCUAUUAUGCCACCUGUAACUGGAAUCAGCUUCCAGAAGAGAUCAGAUGUUCUUCAACAUUAGACACUUUUAAAUCUAGAUUAAAAACACAACCCUUGUGAUUUUUAUUUCUCUUGUAUUCUUUUUUUUUACACAUUUUAAACCGUUUUUAUUAAAAUCAAAUUUAUUUUCUUUUAAUU